rnacentral:rRNA from 1 species
UACGGGGGGGGCAAGCGUUGUUCGGAAUUACUGGGCGUAAAGGGCUCGUAGGCGGCCAACUAAGUCGGACGUGAAAUCCCUCGGCUUAACCGGGGAACUGCGUCCGAUACUGGAUGGCUUGAGUUUGGGAGAGGGAUGCGGAAUUCCAGGUGUAGAGGUGAAAUUCGUAGAUAUCGGGAGGAAUACCAGUGGCGAAGGCGGCGACCUGGGCCAAUACUGACGCUGAGGUGCGAAAGCGUGGGGAGCAAACAGG